rnacentral:rRNA from 1 species
UGGGGAAUAUUGCACAAUGGGCGAAAGCCUGAUGCAGCAACGCCGCGUGAGUGAUGAAGGCCUUCGGGUUGUAAAGCUCUGUCUUUUGGGACGAUAAUGACGGUACCAAAGGAGGAAGCCACGGCUAACUACGUGCCAGCAGCCGCGGUAAUACGUAGGUGGCAAGCGUUGUCCGGAUUUACUGGGCGUAAAGGAUGCGUAGGCGGAUUUUUAAGUGAGAUGUGAAAUACCCGGGCUUAACUUGGGUGCUGCAUUUCAAACUGGGAAUCUAGGUGCGGGAGAGGAGAAUGGAAUUCCUAGUGUAGCGGUGAAAUGCGUAGAGAUUAGGAAGAACACCAGUGGCGAAGGCGAUUCUCUGGACCGUAACUGACGCUGAGGCAUGAAAGCGUGGGUAGCAAACAGGAUUAGAUACCCUGGUAGUCCACGCCGUAAACGAUGAGUACUAGGUGUAGGAGGUAUCGACCCCUUCUGUGCCGCAGUUAACACAAUAAGUACUCCGCCUGGGAAGUACGAUCGCAAGAUUAAAACUCAAAGAAUUGACGGGGUCAUAGCUGUUUUCC